CGUGCGAUAGCUCAGUUGGUAGAGCAUUGGAUUGUAAUUGUAAUGAAUUAUUAUAACUAUUCGUUUAGUCACUAAACUCCAAUUGUCCCGAGUUCGAUCCUUGGUUGCGCGA
rfam:Bathycoccus sp. RCC1105 virus BpV1, complete genome.